UUGUAAGGAGUCCAUGAUGAAUUGGUUUUGAAACCAGUGGAUUAGCAUAUUAGUUGUCAAUCUCUCCUGCUGACGUUCCCAUGUGGAGAUACGUUAUGUGGCCUGGGUGUGUUGCUCAUAGAAUUGUUAGGGUUCUUCUAAGACUGCUUCAGAGGUAUAAGGUUUCAGGAUUGAACCGUUUGGAUGGGAGUAAGGUGACUAAACUUCAACAUUAUGCCUUUUAAAACUAUUGAAGAGUGGACUUAUACCUUUAAACUUAACCAUAAACCUGUGAUACUUUUAAAGCAUAAUCGCAUAUAACAGUUAUUUGAUCUAGUCAGUUAAAACAUUGAUCUAUUUCAUGUCUAGUUCUAUAUAUGAAAGAUGAUUUAUUGUUAAUUUACUUUCCUUACUAAUAAAUUUACAGUAUUUGAUCUCCCUCAGGCCUUGCUGUCGAAAUCUGUAUUUUCAAUUUUUAGUUUUUAUAAGAUAACUUACAAGUAGUAAUGAUUCUAGAGCCACUGGCCUAGAAGAUAAGAUAUAGGAGUUUCAAGUCUUUGAUCCAUGAACUUUUACUUAUAUAUGGAAACUGAAAUACUUCCAACAGAAGGGAUUAAAUAUCUCCAGGUAAUCUAUUCUCAUUUGCUCCACUAGGUUACUCACCUGAGUAUACAGGGAAGAAAGAAACAGAAAUCACUGAUACUCAUGUGUUGAAAUGCAGCUUUCACUCACGGGAAGGAGGUCAAAAUCUGAAGGAAAUACUUCAAAAGUGUGGAAAGCAAAACUGUUCUCUCAAGCCCAUCUGCUGGAUAUGAUUAGUCUGUGGACAUUUUUCCCUCCAAAUUUUCAGCUCCUUAUGUGUGCAACCUGCUCUGUACAGGCUCAACAUCAGCCUGAAGACAUGAGCUCUGACAGUGCUACAUCUGCAAACCUUCCCCCAAAGGAAUGCAAUUGUCAUGGCAUUCUGGGAAAGAAGAAACACGUUCUGAUUAGUCGGGUCCUAAGCCCUUAUUUAGGGCUCCGUCACAAAAACAGAGAUAUCAGCAGCGAGCAAUGA
rnacentral:lncRNA from 1 species